CCUACGGGUGGCUGCAGUGGGGAAUAUUGCACAAUGGGCGCAAGCCUGAUGCAGCCAUGCCGCGUGUGUGAAGAAGGCCUUCGGGUUGUAAAGCACUUUCAGCGGGGAGGAAGGCGUUAAGGUUAAUAACCUUGGCGAUUGACGUUACCCGCAGAAGAAGCACCGGCUAACUCCGUGCCAGCAGCCGCGGUAAUACGGAGGGUGCAAGCGUUAAUCGGAAUUACUGGGCGUAAAGCGCACGCAGGCGGUCUGUCAAGUCGGAUGUGAAAUCCCCGGGCUCAACCUGGGAACUGCAUUCGAAACCGGCAGGCUAGAGUCUUGUAGAGGGGGGUAGAAUUCCAGGUGUAGCGGUGAAAUGCGUAGAGAUCUGGAGGAGUACCGGUGGCGAAGGCGGCCCCCUGGACAAAGACUGACGCUCAGGUGCGAAAGCGUGGGGAGCAAACAGGAUUAGAUACCCCAGUAGUC
rnacentral:rRNA from 1 species